rnacentral:rRNA from 1 species
GACGAACGCUGGCGGCGUGCUUAACACAUGCAAGUCGAACGGAAAGGCCCCUUUGGGGGUACUCGAGUGGCGAACGGGUGAGUAACACGUGAGUAACCUGCCCUUGACUUCGGGAUAACUUCAGGAAACUGGGGCUAAUACCGGAUAGGAAUCCUUGCUGCAUGGUGGGGGUUGGAAAGCUUCGGCGGUUUUGGAUGGACUCGCGGCUUAUCAGCUUGUUGGUGGGGUAGUGGCUUACCAAGGCUUUGACGGGUAGCCGGCCUGAGAGGGCGACCGGCCACAUUGGGACUGAGAUACGGCCCAGACUCCUACGGGAGGCAGCAGUGGGGAAUAUUGCACAAUGGGCGGAAGCCUGAUGCAGUAACGCCGCGUGCGGGAUGACGGCCUUCGGGUUGUAAACCGCUUUCAGCAGGGGCGAAGCUUGUGGUGACGGUACCUGCAGAAGAAGCACCGGCUAACUACGUG